CCUACGGGAGGCAGCAGUGGGGGAUAUUGCACAAUGGGGGAAACCCUGAUGCAGCGACGCCGCGUGUAGGAAGACGGUCCUCUGGAUUGUAAACUACUGUCCCCAGGGACGAAGAUGACGGUACCUGGGGAGGAAGCUCCGGCUAACUACGUGCCAGCAGCCGCGGUAAUACGUAGGGAGCGAGCGUUGUCCGGAAUUACUGGGUGGAAAGGGAGCGUAGGCGGGGAUGCAAGUUGGGUGUUAAAUCUACCGGCUCAACUGGUAGUCGCACUCAAAACUGCAGCUCUUGAGUGAAGUAGAGGCAGGCGGAAUUCCUAGUGUAGCGGUGAAAUGCGUAGAUAUUAGGAGGAACACCAGUGGCGAAGGCGGCCUGCUGGGCUUUUACUGACGCUGAGGCUCGAAAGUGUGGGGAGCAAACAGGAUUAAAUACCCGAGUAGUC
rnacentral:rRNA from 1 species